rnacentral:rRNA from 1 species
AAAUUGAAGAGUUUGAUCAUGGCUCAGAUUGAACGCUGGCGGCAGGCCUAACACAUGCAAGUCGAGCGGAAACGAGUUAUCUGAACCUUCGGGGAACGAUAACGGCGUCGAGCGGCGGACGGGUGAGUAAUGCCUAGGAAAUUGCCCUGAUGUGGGGGAUAAC